rnacentral:lncRNA from 1 species
GGUUUUCUUGCAAUUCCAUUAAUGAAUAGGAUUCAUGUAAAUACAUGCAAGAGGCAAAUUUAACCUAGAUUAUUGCCUUUCAUGCCUCUGAAAGAACUUCCAUCUCAUGUUUGUACAGACGAACCACCUAUUAAUUUAGCAAUAUAAAGACUACACGUAGAAAAAAAAAUAGAAUUGUGUUUCAACUCAGACCUGUGGGGAAUGUUCCCAAACUCACAUUUGAUACAGAUUCAGAUGUAACUGCCAGUGCUGUGCCUAUUCCUUUUCAGCAAUGAAAACAAAAUGGCUGAGGAACUCACAGGGAAUUUAUUAUUAUUUCACUGAAGGUUACUCGGAGGACAAAUAAAGAUGCUAUCAGAAUUAAAAAAACUACAAAUAAAAGAUGAUAAUAUACUAUGUAGAAUCCUUAGUACAAUUAACCACUAAUACUGUGUAAUUUAAAUAUUUUUCAAGGUUUGCUGACUCUAUUCCCUGAAGAAGAAGAAGAAGAAAGAGAGUGAUUGUUCAAAUUCAGACUCGUUAUGCAUCUGAUCAAGUACAUUGAAAACAGACUCUGACCAAACCCGACAUACCAGGACACUUCUCUAGGAAGCUGGAAGGGCACAGACAGUGAAGUCCUUUGGUAGCUAAAGACUUCUUACACCAAAGUGCUUAUCCAGGUUUGCCUUGUGUUCCACAGUAACACUAUUUUCCCGAAACAGAAAUGCAAUAUUGAAAAAGAGAAGGGAAGAAGCGUCACACCUCUGAAAUACAUUGCCACUGCUACAGCAGGUGUGUCAGUGCCCAUAGCGAGUGAGCAACGGCUACAGUCUGACCUGAUCUGCUGCUAAUCAGUAAUAUUUUUAUUCAUCUUACACCAUCUCUGAGCUAAAAGUCAGUCUCUGGAGGGAAUAGAAGUAAGGAAAAUACUUAUAAAGAAUGCUCAUUAGA